rnacentral:rRNA from 1 species
AACGAACGCUGGCGGCGUGGAUUAGGCAUGCAAGUCGAACGCGAAAGGUUCCUUCGGGGACCGAGUAGAGUGGCAAACGGGUGAGUAACGCGUGGGAAACUUUCCCUUCAGGUGGGGAUAACACUUCUAACGAGGUGCUAAUACCGAAUUCGAUCCUUCUGAUGCAUGUCAGAAGGAUGAAAGGCGGCCUCUGCUUGCAAGCUGUCGCUGAAGGAUGGUCCCGCGUCCUAUUAGCUAGUUGGUGAGGUAACGGCCCACCAAGGCGAUGAUAGGUAGCCGAUCUUAGCGGAUGACCGGCCACACUGGGAUUGAGAUACGGCCCAGACUCCUACGGGAGGCUG